CCUACGGGAGGCACCAGUGGGGAAUAUUGCACAAUGGGCGAAAGCCUGAUGCAGCGACGCCGCGUGAGGGAUGACGGCCUUCGGGUUGUAAACCUCUUUCAGCACGGAAGAAGCGAAAGUGACGGUACGUGCAGAAGAAGCGCCGGCUAACUACGUGCCAGCAGCCGCGGUAAUACGUAGGGCGCAAGCGCUGUCCGGAAUUAUUGGGCGUAAAGAGCUCGUAGGCGGUUUGUCGCGUCUGCUGUGAAAGCCCGGGGCUUAACUCCGGGUGUGCAGUGGGUACGGGCAGACUUGAGUGCAGUAGGGGAGACUGGAAUUCCUGGUGUAGCGGUGAAAUGCGCGGAUAUCAGGAGGAACACCGAUGGCGAAGGCAGGUCUCUGGUCUGUAACUGACGCUGAGGCGCGAAAGCGUGGGGAGCAAACAGGAUUAGAUACCCGCGUAGUC
rnacentral:rRNA from 1 species